GAAACGGUGGCUAAUACCGCAUAACGUCGCAAGACCAAAGAGGGGGACCUUCGGGCCUCUUGCCAUCAGAUGUGCCCAGAUGGGAUUAGCUUGUUGGUGAGGUAACGGCUCACCAAGGCGACGAUCCCUAGCUGGUCUGAGAGGAUGACCAGCCACACUGGAACUGAGACACGGUCCAGACUCCUACGGGAGGCAGCAGUGGGGAAUAUUGCACAAUGGGCGCAAGCCUGAUGCAGCCAUGCCGCGUGUAUGAAGAAGGCCUUCGGGUUGUAAAGUACUU
rnacentral:rRNA from 1 species